rnacentral:lncRNA from 1 species
CUCAAUACCAGUAAAACCUCUCAAAGAAACCUCUUCUAAAACAUAUCAUACUUAAAUCAUUAACUAUGAAAUCAUCAUCAUAAAAAUCGCAAUCAACCCAACAAAUAAAUCUAAUACCAAUCUCAAAUUUCAAGCGGAAGUAGUCCCGCAUGCGCCUCCUCCAUCUCGGCUAACACUUCAAAGAAUCUCUCUCUCUCUCUCUCUCUCUCUCACGCUCCGGGACCCAACGGAAGCCCGCCCGGUGCGUGUCCAGACCCACCAUAUGCCCACACAUAUAAAACAUCUACAAC